UUAAAUAUAAAUCAGUAUAGUUACAAUAGUAUUAAAAGGGAAUAUGGUUAAAAGCCAUAACAGCCACCGCUACUGUAAAAUUGACGAAAGCUUUAAAGUUUACUCUACUAAUGUAUUUUGGGAAGGAAAAGCAAGUAGAAUGAUAUUAAGUCAGGAGACCUACUAUAUUGAUAUAUACUAG
rnacentral:ncRNA from 1 species